UUGAACGCUGGCGGCAUGCCUUACACAUGCAAGUCGAACGGCAGCACGGACUUCGGUCUGGUGGCGAGUGGCGAACGGGUGAGUAAUACAUCGGAACGUGCCUAGUAGUGGGGGAUAACUACUCGAAAGAGUGGCUAAUACCGCAUGAGAUCUACGGAUGAAAGCAGGGGAUCGUAAGACCUUGUGCUACUAGAGCGGCCGAUGGCAGAUUAGGUAGUUGGUGGGAUAAAAGCUUACCAAGCCAACGAUCUGUAGCUGGUCUGAGAGGACGAUCAGCCACACUGGGACUGAGACACGGCCCAGACUCCUACGGGAGGCAGCAGUGGGGAAUUUUGGACAAUGGGCGAAAGCCUGAUCCAGCAAUGCCGCGUGCAGGAUGAAGGCCUUCGGGUUGUAAACUGCUUUUGUACGGAACGAAAAGCUUCGGGUUAAUACCCUGAAGUCAUGACGGUACCGUAAGAAUAAGCACCGGCUAACUACGUGCCAGCAGCCGCGGUAAUACGUAGGGUGCAAGCGUUAAUCGGAAUUACUGGGCGUAAAGCGUGCGCAGGCGGUUUUGUAAGACAGAGGUGAAAUCCCCGGGCUCAACCUGGGAACUGCCUUUGUGACUGCAAGGCUAGAGUACGGCAGAGGGGGAUGGAAUUCCGCGUGUAGCAGUGAAAUGCGUAGAUAUGCGGAGGAACACCGAUGGCGAAGGCAAUCCCCUGGGCCUGUACUGACGCUCAUGCACGAAAGCGUGGGGAGCAAACAGGAUUAGAUACCCUGGUAGUCCACGCCCUAAACGAUGUCAACUGGUUGUUGGGUCUUCAUUGACUCAGUAACGAAGCUAACGCGUGAAGUUGACCGCCUGGGGAGUACGGCCGCAAGGUUGAAACUCAAAGGAAUUGACGGGGGCCCGCACAAGCAGUGGAGUAUGUGGUUUAAUUCGAAGCAACGCGAAGAACCUUACCAGGGCUUGACAUAUACAGGAAUACUUGAGGAAACUUAAGUAGCUUUUCGGAGUCUGUAUACAGGUGGUGCAUGGUUGUCGUCAGCUCGUGUCGUGAGAUGUUGGGUUAAGUCCCGCAACGAGCGCAACCCUUGCCAUUAGUUGCUACGAAAGGGCACUCUAAUGGGACUGCCGGUGACAAACCGGAGGAAGGUGGGGAUGACGUCAAGUCCUCAUGGCCCUUAUAGGUGGGGCUACACACGUCAUACAAUGGCUGGUACAAAGGGUUGCCAACCCGCGAGGGGGAGCUAAUCCCAUAAAGCCAGUCGUAGUCCGGAUCGCAGUCUGCAACUCGACUGCGUGAAGUCGGAAUCGCUAGUAAUCGUGGAUCAGCAUGUCACGGUGAAUACGUUCCCGGGUCUUGUACACACCGCCCGUCACACCAUGGGAGCGGGUCUCGCCAGAAGUAGGUAGCCUAACCGCAAGGAGGGCGCUUACCACGGCGGGGUUCGUGACUGGGGUG
rnacentral:rRNA from 1 species